rnacentral:rRNA from 1 species
GAUGAACGCUGGCGGCGUGCCUAAUACAUGCAAGUCGAGCGAACAGAUGAGGAGCUUGCUCCUCUGACGUUAGCGGCGGACGGGUGAGUAACACGUGGAUAACCUACCUAUCAGACUGGGAUAACUUCGGGAAACCGGAGCUAAUACCGGAUAAUAUAUUGAACCGCAUGGUUCAAUAGUGAAAGACGGUUUUGCUGUCACUUAUAGAUGGAUCCGCGCCGUAUUAGCUAGUUGGUAAGGUAACGGCUUACCAAGGCAACGAUGCGUAGCCGACCUGAGAGGGUGAUCGGCCACACUGGAACUUAGACACGGUCCAGACUCCUACGGGAGGCAGCAGUAGGGAAUCUUCCGCAAUGGGCGAAAGCUUGACGGAGCGACGCCGCGUGAGUGAUGAAGGUCUUCGGAUCGUAAAACUCUGUUAGGAGGGAAGAACAAAUGUGUAAGGAACUAUGCACGUCUUGACGGUACCUAAUCAGAAAGCCACGGCUAACUACGUG